rnacentral:tRNA from 1 species
UUUAGCUCAAUAGCAGAGUACUUGCCUCAUAUGCAAGAGACCUUGGAUUCUAACCCCAGAA